ensembl:snRNA U6 U6 spliceosomal RNA
GUGCUCGCUUCAGCAGCACAUAUACUAAAAUUGGAAUGAUACAGAGAAGAUUAGCGUGAACCCUGUGCAAGGAUGACAUGCAAAUUUGUGAAGCGCUCCUUAUUUUU